GAACAGAGGCCAGCAAGGAGAGUGAGGACGCCCCAGCGGCAGCCUGUGAGUGACAUCGUUAGUUCGGCAGCCCGUGAGCCUGUCAGGAGGCGGCAAGGGGAAGGCUGAGAAUGAGGUCGGAAAGCAGGCAGGAGUUGGAGGGCGGCUGGCGCCGUAUGUUCGACGCGGCGCCGGUCAGGCAAGACGGCAGGUCAGGAUGAGGCCGCACAGGAAGAGCGCCCCCUGCAAUAAGGCGGGGGGCGGGAAAGCACAAAGGACGGCGGAAUCCAGCAUGACAUGAUGGCCGCCAGGCAGGGAGAGCGGCAAGAGGCGUCCUGGUGAGUCUGCCCCUGGUGGCAUACCUGAGUGACAGGGGGAAUGAUGCAAGGGCCCAGCAGUGUAAAAGCGGUCCUCCCCCCCCCCAAUGGGCAGGCGGGGGGGGUCCAGGUCGGCGGGACACAGAUGGAGGCGGCCCUGGAUGGGGCCAGGGUCAGGUCAGAGUGGAAGGAAGGGGAUAGUGAAAGCAGCAGGCGGAGUCUUCACAGGCACAGCAAAGCAGCUAUGGAGGGGAAGGCCAGCAACCAGGAUUAAUUAAAGGGGCCACAAGUGGAUGAGGCGGCCUGGGAGAGGCCAGGUACUGCAAGCAGAGGGCAGAAGAGAGGACAUGGACGGGUGGAAAUGGACGUAAGGCACAGAGGCAAGUGGGAGCCCCUUGGGGGGCGUUCUCAGGAGCAGGAACACAGG